CUCUAACAAAUGCUCCCUAAGAAGAAUUCAUAGCCUGAAAAUCUCAUUAUCCUACGGAUAUUUUGAGAUGACCUUGCUCAGGUCUGGACUUUGGGGAUAGAUCCUGCUUUUCCUAGCCAAGUCAAAACAGUGGAUUCUUCUGUGGUUUUUGCCUCUUAAGUGCCUAGCCAGCUCUUGUAGCUUAAGAAGAGAGAGCAGAAACUGAUCCUGUUUUUGAUGCAGAGGUGUUGCAGUUUCCCUUUGCAGGCAAGCCAGUAGCUGUGAAAGAAUAGUGAAGCCAGAAAGCCUUAAAGAGGACACAAGAAGAAAAUUCUUGCUGUAUUUUUGGAGGAUUAUAUCAAUUUUGUGUUCCUAGGAAAAAACUAUUUUCUCCUGGUAUAUUGCAUUUGUUCAAGUAGAGCCAUUAAAAGCAUGGGAAUAAUAAUUUGUGAGGUAUCUUGUGAUCCAUGCUGCUCUUUCCUCUCUUGAACCUAGCUCAAAAAACUUCCUUUAUUAUUGCCAAAUUCUUCUUGCAGCUAAGAAGAUAAAUGAAGCAAGUCAUCUCCUGUUAACAGGAAAGCCUGAAGUGUAAAGAUGAAUGGCUUUUGGGGCCCUCCAUGUAACUUUGUUUGAUCUCCAUUGCAGUAAGCAAGCCAGAAAAGUCUUGGCAUGUCUUCUCUUCCCGUUUCCUUCUUCUGGCAGCAGUAUCUGGUGGGAAACACUGGAAACAUCAGGUCCACCAUUGAUGUAAAAACUGACUCCUAAGAGUGUAAUCGACCCAGUUAUGAGGUAGGCUGAAUGUUUAUGAUUAAUUAUUUGUAUCAGUGUACCCAGGAAGUCCAAAUCAA
rnacentral:lncRNA from 1 species